AAUCAUCAAACCCCUCCGGUUUCUGCUGGAGCGGGCUUGGACUUGGGGGUUUUUGCUGCCUUCUGGCGGCUCCCCUUAAAUGAAUCGGUCGGGCUUUCGUGUGGCUUGUCCCUUGGCGUUGUAUCAACCUCGUCGCUGGAUGGCUCGCGAGCUUAGCGCCCCUCCAAGACCAGCCUCUGGAGCGGCGGUCAACUUCAAUUUGUG
rnacentral:misc_RNA from 1 species